rnacentral:rRNA from 1 species
UACGUAGGGGGCAAGCGUUGUCCGGAUUUAUUGGGCGUAAAGAGCGUGUAGGCGGCCUGGAAGGUCAGCUGUGAAAACUCGAGGCUCAACCUCGAGACGUCGGUUGAAACCACCUGGCUAGAGUCCGGAAGAGGAGAGUGGAAUUCCCGGUGUAGCGGUGAAAUGCGCAGAUAUCGGGAAGAACACCCGUGGCGAAGGCGGCUCUCUGGGACGGUACUGACGCUGAGACGCGAAAGCGUGGGGAUCAAACAGG